AGUGAACGCUGGCGGUAUGCCUAACACAUGCAAGUCGAACGGGAGCACAGUAAGAGCUUGCUCGUACGGGUGGCGAGUGGCGGACGGGUGAGGAAGACAGCGGAAUCUACUUUUUCUUGGGGGAUAACGGAGGUAAACUUACGCUACUACCGCAUACGACCUACGGGUGAAAAGAGGGGAUCUUCGGACCUGUCGCGAUUGAAUGAGCCGAUGUCGGAUUAGCUAGUGGGCGGGGUAAAGGCCCACUAAGGCGACGCUCCGUAGAUGGUCUGAGAGCGUGAUCAGCCACACUGGAAGUGAGACACGGUCCCGACUCCUACGGGAGGAAGCAGUGGGGAAUCUUGGACAAUGGGCGCGAGCCUGAUAUAGCCCUACCGGGUGGGUGAUGAAGGCGUUCGGGCGGUAAAGCCAUUUUGUUGGGAGAGAAGAGAAGCAGGUUAAUCCCCCGAGGUUCUGACGGUACCCAAAGAAUAAGCACCGGCUAACUACGUG
rnacentral:rRNA from 1 species